rnacentral:rRNA from 1 species
UCGAGAAUCUUCCGCAAUGGACGAAAGUCUGACGGAGCGACGCCGCGUGAUUGAUGAAGCUUUUCGGAGUGUAAAGAUCUUUUAUGAGGGAAGAAGUUUAUUGACGGUACCUCAUGAAUAAGGGGCUCCUAAUCUCGUGCCAGCAGGAGCGGUAAUACGAGAGCCCCGAGCGUUAUCCGGAAUUAUUGGGCGUAAAGGGUGCGUAGGUGGUUGUGUUAGUCGUUUGUCAAAUCUCUGGGCUUAACCCAGAAACCGCGAACGAAACGGCACAACUUGAGAGUGUGAGGGGUGAAUGGAACUCAUGGUGUAGGGGUGAAAUCCGUUGAUAUCAUGGGGAACACCAAAAGCGAAGGCAAUUCACUGGCACAUAUCUGACACUCAAGCACGAAAGCGUGGGUAGCGAAUGGGAUUAGAUACCCCCGUAGUCC